rnacentral:rRNA from 1 species
UGGGGAAUUUUGGACAAUGGGGGCAACCCUGAUCCAGCCAUUCCGCGUGAGUGAAGAAGGCCUUCGGGUUGUAAAGCUCUUUCGGACGGAACGAAACGGUUAGCGUGAAUAGCGCUGACUAAUGACGGUACCGUAAGAAGAAGCACCGGCUAACUACGUGCCAGCAGCCGCGGUAAUACGUAGGGUGCGAGCGUUAAUCGGAAUUACUGGGCGUAAAGCGUGCGCAGGCGGCGGCCCAAGUCAGGUGUGAAAUCCCCGGGCUUAACCUGGGAAUUGCGCUUGAAACUAGGCGGCUUGAGUGUGGCAGAGGGGGGUGGAAUUCCACGUGUAGCAGUGAAAUGCGUAGAGAUGUGGAGGAACACCGAUGGCGAAGGCAGCCCCCUGGGUCAACACUGACGCUCAGGCACGAAAGCGUGGGGAGCAAACAGG